rnacentral:rRNA from 1 species
GAUGAACGCUGGCGGCGUGCCUAAUACAUGCAAGUCGAACGCUUCACUUCGGUGAAGAGUGGCGAACGGGUGAGUAAUACAUAAGUAACCUGGCAUCUACAGGGGGAUAACUGAUGGCAACGUCAGCUAAGACCGCAUAGGUGUAGAGAUCGCAUGAACUCUAUAUGAAAAGUGCUACGGGACUGGUAGAUGAUGGACUUAUGGCGCAUUAGCUGGUUGGUAGGGUAACGGCCUACCAAGGCGACGAUGCGUAGCCGACCUGAGAGGGUGACCGGCCACACUGGGACUGAGACACGGCCCAGACUCCUACGGGAGGCAGCAGUAGGGAAUUUUCGGCAAUGGGGGAAACCCUGACCGAGCAACGCCGCGUGAAGGAAGAAGUAAUUCGUUAUGUAAACUUCUGUCAUAGAGGAAGAACGGUGGAUAUAGGGAAUGAUAUCCAAGUGACGGUACUCUAUAAGAAAGCCACGGCUAACUACGUGCCAGCAGCCGCCGUAAAAC